rnacentral:rRNA from 1 species
AUUGAACGCUGGCGGCAGGCCUAACACAUGCAAGUCGAGCGGAUGAAGGGAGCUUGCUCCUGGAUUCAGCGGCGGACGGGUGAGUAAUGCCUAGGAAUCUGCCUGGUAGUGGGGGAUAACGUCCGGAAACGGGCGCUAAUACCGCAUACGUCCUGAGGGAGAAAGUGGGGGAUCUUCGGACCUCACGCUAUCAGAUGAGCCUAGGUCGGAUUAGCUAGUUGGUGGGGUAAAGGCCUACCAAGGCGACGAUCCGUAACUGGUCUGAGAGGAUGAUCAGUCACACUGGAACUGAGACACGGUCCAGACUCCUACGGGAGGCAGCAGUGGGGAAUAUUGGACAAUGGGCGAAAGCAUGAUCCAGCCAUGCCGCGUGUGUGAAGAAGGUCUUCGGAUUGUAAAGCACUUUAAGUUGGGAGGAAGGGCAGUAAGUUAAUACCUUGCUAUUUUGACGUUACCAACAGAAUAAGCACCGGCUAACUUCGUG